CGGAUUUCUACGUUCUUCACUGAGCUUGACCAGAACUGACCAUGAUUGAUGGUGAUCUUCAGUAGAAAAGGCGGGCAAUCAGGAAAAAGAAAAAAAAAAAAAAUUCACAGAGAUCAUGGUUGCCAUCUCCAAGGAUGACACUAUACAUACCAGAAGAGCCUGUGUCAUCAAAUCUCUGUGCACCUACUUGAACGAAGACCCUGAAAAACUAGUGAAGGCAUAUUUGGAUUCAGACAUUGAGUCACAAAGUACCAUGGAGCAACUGUGAUAGGAGUGUAUAUCAUACUGAAGGAGGGAGCGCUGCCUGAUGAUGACCCACAGGACAUUGGUGUCUUAAUUGAAGGUGUGGAAGUCAUCAGUGACUUGAGUAGCAUUGCAUAGGCUUGUGCUGUUAUUUGGACUGAUAUACUGUUUGAACCUGAGCUACCCAGAGAUCAAAUGAACAUUUAAAGUCUUGCAGAAUAUCUUUCUAAAUCUAAAUGGACAGAGGUUGUCAUCCAAGGCACAAUUCCUCAAAAACAACUUUUGGAAUAAGUGAGCUUGAAAAAGACAGAAAAGCCAAACAAAAUGCACUUGGAGUUCCUCAUGUAUAUGGACAAC